rnacentral:rRNA from 1 species
UACGUAGGGUGCAAGCGUUAAUCGGAAUUACUGGGCGUAAAGCGUGCGCAGGCGGUUUUGUAAGUCAGAUGUGAAAUCCCCGGGCUUAACCUGGGAACUGCGUUUGAAACUACAAGGCUAGAGUGUGGCAGAGGGGGGUGGAAUUCCGCGUGUAGCAGUGAAAUGCGUAGAUAUGCGGAGGAACACCGAUGGCGAAGGCAAUCCCCUGGGCCUGCACUGACGCUCAUGCACGAAAGCGUGGGGAGCAAACAGG